rnacentral:rRNA from 1 species
GUCCAGACUCCUACGGGAGGCAGCAGUCGGCCAUAUUGCGCAAUGCCUGAAACUCUGACCCAGUGACGCCGCGUACAGGAAGAAGGUUUUCGGAUUGUAAACUAUUGUCGUUAGGGAAGAUAAAAGACUGUACCUAAGGAGGAAGCCCCGGCUAACUAUGUGCCAGCAGCCGCGGUAAUACGUAGGGGGCAAGCGUUAUCCGGAUUUACUGGGUGUAAAGGGAGCGCAGGCGGCACGGCAAGCCUGAUGUGAAAGCCCGCGGCCCAACCGCGGGACUGCAUUGGGAACUACCGGGCUGGAGUGCCGGAGAGGUAGGCGGAAUUCCUAGUGUAGCGGUGAAAUGCGUAGAUAUUAGGAGGAACACCAGUGGCGAAGGCGGACUACUGGACGGUGACUGACGCCGAGGCUCGAAAGCGUGGGGAGCAAACAGGAUUAGAUACCCUAGUAAAC